rnacentral:snRNA from 1 species
AUACCUUUUGGACUUUUGGCUUAAAUCAAGUGUAGUAUCUGUACUUAUCAGUAUAAAAUUUGAUAUGUGAGUUAUCGACUCACACAAUAACUCUAUUUUCUGAGGGGAAAGAUCUACCAAGGUAGCUUGCUAUUAGGACCUUCAAGCAUCGCCUUGUUGUUGCACACUAU